GAUUCCGUAGUGUAAUCAGUAUGCACAACAGACUAGAUAUCUGUAGAUGCGGUUUCGAGUCUCGCCUGAGGCU
rnacentral:tRNA from 1 species